GAAUAGGCGGCUGUAGAAGUGUUAAGUUGUAACCUUAAUUAUAGGAAUUUCCUCCUUUUUAUUUA
rnacentral:tRNA from 1 species